UGCACUCGCGUGGGAACGAGAAGACACUC
rnacentral:piRNA from 1 species